rnacentral:rRNA from 1 species
GAUGAACGCUGGCGGCGUGCCUAAUACAUGCAAGUCGAGCGAACGGACGAGAGGCUUGCUUCUCUGAUGUUAGCGGCGGACGGGUGAGUAACACGUGGAUAACCUACCUAUAAGACUGGGAUAACUUCGGGAAACCGGAGCUAAUACCGGAUAAUAUUUUGAACCGCAUGGUUCAAAAGUGAAAGACGGUCUUGCUGUCACUUAUAGAUGGAUCCGCGCUGCAUUAGCUAGUUGGUAAGGUAACGGCUUACCAAGGCAACGAUGCAUAGCCGACCUGAGAGGGUGAUCGGCCACACUGGAACUGAGACACGGUCCAGACUCCUACGGGAGGCAGCAGUAGGGAAUCUUCCGCAAUGGGCGAAAGCCUGACGGAGCAACGCCGCGUGAGUGAUGAAGGUCUUCGGAUCGUAAAACUCUGUUAUUAGGGAAGAACAUAUGUGUGAGUAACUGUGCACAUCUUGACGGUACCUAAUCAGAAAGCCACGGCUAACUACGUG